UACAUUUUGGUUUGUUUUGGCUUUGUUUUAUUUUCUCCCCUUCCUUCUCCUCCCCUUCCCCCCUCCUCUUUCUUCUUCCCUGGUCAUUCUAGGAGCUGGGGCUCCAGCGAUGAACAAGACCCAGGUGCUGCCCUCAAGGAGCCCACACUGGUGUUCAAGUGCCAGGCAAGUCCUUCCUUCCUUGAUGAGAGUCAUCGUGCGCAGAGAGCUGAUGAGGACCUGAGUUGGAAAGAUAUUGAUUCUCUUUUUGACCUCCAUCCAAAAAAGGUUAGUUUUAUUAGGGAAUUAACCGGAGCAUCUUAAAGACCUCCUCUUGUGCAGUGAGUCAGACUUGGGGCUUUGAGAGGAAUGUUGUUUCAUCUUGACAAAGCCCCAUCUUUUUAUUUCUAAGAAGAAAAAAGUCCUGAGGAACAUGGGUGACUUGGGGCAAAGGGCCAUUUGGCCCCAGGUGUGAUCUGUUUCCACUGGGAAAAGGACAAGAAUCCUGGAAACACCUGAUUUAGGCUUGGAAAAAGAAAAAAGGCACAAGCACUGGCUAGGCAACCUUCCAGUCUUCCUAGCUCCAAAAAUUUCUCAAAUGUUCCUUCCCUGGGACUCCUGGCCUCCCCCUGACCCCAGGGCUAACUGAGAGGUGCGGAGCUGGGCUGGGGACCCAGGCUGCCGCUUGGGCAUGCCUUUGUAGCCAGUGGCACCUUCUUCACAAGCUCCUUCUUAAGACUUGCUCUGGGACCUGCCCUGACAGGGAACUUUCUGGAAGCCUGGUUGCCUUUGAAUUCUGUUAUUACUCUUUUUUAAUAUAUGCUUUUUAAAAUUGGAAUAUAAUUUCUUUACAAUGUUGUUGUGUUAGUUUUUUCUGUACAACAAUGUGAAUUCUCUUCCUUUCAACAGGAAAAGAUCUCAUGACAAAGACUAUGUCUCUGUUUUAUC
rnacentral:lncRNA from 1 species